rnacentral:antisense_RNA from 1 species
AACUACAGACGCGAAGCUCAGCCUCUCGGUUUGGGGAUUUUCUUGGAGGCCGAGGCCCCGCGCCUCUGUCUGCACCCAAGGCGACCGCCCAGCUUACCCCCGGCUCUUCUGAGCACAGGGAGGCCUCCCAGCAAAGCCUGAAACCCUCUAAGUUUAGCUGCAGGCUUCGAACCCCGACCGUCCCCGCCGAGCCUUGGGCUGCUGAGGUGGGGAUGAACUGGGCGAAAGACACUUGGGAGUUAGGAAGAAACAAACAAGCAGGGAAGUGACCGGGAGACAAGAUGGGCGUCCACAGAAUGAAUACAGGAAUGUCUGUCUGCCUGUCUGUGCAUACUCUGUGAAGGAAUACACCAACAUUACAUGCUGACCCAAGGAUAGCCAGUACGCCUUCUGCAAGAGGAAAGUUUGUUUCAAAAUCCAUCAAGUGAAAGAGAACAGAAAAAUUCAGAGGGCGUCAUUCACGUGUACAACAUGGAGGGUGGAAGAAUGAGCUGGAAGCAGGCAUCAUAAAGCACCAUCGU